CUUGAACCCGGGAGGCGGAGGUUGCAGUGAGCCAAGAUCGCGCCACUGCACUCUAGCCUGGGCAACAAGAGCGAAACUCUGUCUCAGAAAAAAAAAAAAAGAAAGAAAGAAAAGAAAAAAAAGGAAAAAGAAAUCCUAAAAAUAAAAAAAAAGAUUAUAAUUGAAGUAUCAAAUGGGAUAAGACACAGUUAAGGGAACAAUUAGUGAAUUAAAAGAUAUUUCUGAGAAAUUCACCCAAAGCAACACAGAGAGAAAAAGAAAUGAAAAACAUGAAAGUGCAGCUAAGACAUAGUCAACAGAUUAAAAUGUUUCAUCAUAUACAUAACAGAAAUACUGGAAAGAUAGAAUAAAGAAUGAAAUGGAGAUGUAAUAUGUAUGAGAUAAUGGCUGAGACUAUUUCAAAAUAAAAAAGUCCUAAGACGGAAAACACAUACCAUGUGCUAACAUUGCAAUGAUGAAAUCAAAGAUAAAGAGAUAAAUCUCAAGAGUUACAAGAGAUUAAAGACCAAUUGCCUACAAAGGAAUGCCAGUUGAACUGAACAGAUUUUUCAUUAGCAAUAAGGGAUGGCAUACACAGAGAAGUAAUAUCAUGAACAUGCAGAGGGAAAAAUACUAUCAACCUACUUCAAUACAAAGCUAAAUGAACACUGAGGAAGAAAAAUUACAGACAUUUUCAAACUUUCAUAAACCAAGUUACCCAUACCAUCAUGAAAGGAUUACUAAAGCAUAUACUUUGGCAGAAGGAAAAGUGAAAGAAGGAAAAUGUUAAGUACAGAAAGUGUUCAAAUAUUGGUAAAUCUAAUUUCUGAUUACAUACAUAUUCAAUUUUGUGAUAAAUAGUGGAACCAGAAUUCUAGACAAUAACAAGGAAGACAGCUGGGCAUGGUGGCUCACACCUGUAAUCCCAGCACUUUGGGAUGCCAAGGUGAGUGGAUUACCUGAGGUCAGGAGUUCGAGACCAGCCUGACCAACAUGGUGAAACCCCAUCUCUAAUAAAUACAAAAAAUUAGCUGGGCAUGGUGGCACAUGGCUGUAAUCCCAGCUACUUGGGAGGAUGAGGCAGAAGAAUUGCUUGAACCUGGGAGGCGGAGGUUGCAGUGAGCCAAGAUUGUGCCAUUGCACUCCAACCUGGGCAACAUGAACAAAACUCUGUCUCAAAUAAAUAAAUAAAUAACGAGGAAGACAGAGUGAGGGGAAUUCAAUUGGUAGUGACAUUAUGUUCAAGGGAUUGUCUUGUCAGGAGGAAAAUAGAGAUACUGAAUAAUUUUACACUGUUGGGAAAAUGUAUAGCCAAGUAACUAUGUUAAAAAUUAAAACAAAACCACUAAAAGAAAUGUGAUAUAUAACAGCAGUCCCCAGUUUUUUUUGGCCCCAGGGACUGGAUUCAUGGAAGACAAUUUUUCUGUGGACUGGUGGGGGUGGGUGUGUGUGUGUUGGGGGAUGGUUUUGGGAUGACUCAGGUGCAUUAUAUUUAUCAUUAGAUUCUCAUAAGAAACACGCAACCUAGAUCCCUCAUGUGCACAGUUUACAAUAGGGUUUGUGCUCCUAUGAGAAUCUAAUGCCACUGCUGAUCUGACAGGAGGCAGAGCUCAGGCAGUGAUGCUCCCUUGCCUGCCACUCACUUCCUGCUGUCUGGCUCAUUUCCUAACAGGCCAUGGACCAGUACCAGGGGUUGGAGACCCCUGAUAUAUAGCAUUCAAAUCAGUAGGGAGGAAAAGGGAUGGGGUGAUAAGGAGCUCUAUCCAUCAAAAGUAAAGAAGGAAGAAAAAAAUUAAAGUAGCCACAUAUGCCCUCCACCCUCCACCCCCCAAAAUAUCACUGUAAUAGAAAACAUACACACACAGAAAGAUGUUAGAAAAUUAGUUCAAACAAAUCAGUAAUCACGAUAAAUGUAAAUGGAUUAAACUUGCCUCUUAGAGACUAUCCAUGAGAUUUUUAAAAAUCAAAAUCCAGCUGUAAGUGGUGUGUAAGAGAUAUACUUAAGAUGAUCAUACAGAAAUACUGAAAAUAGACAGAAAAAGAUAUCCCAGGAAAAUACUAACCAAAGAAGACUAGACUAACAAUAUUAAUGUCAGGCAAAAUAGAACAUAAUGCAAAAAGCACUAGGAGGGAUAAAGUGGGUCAUUAUAUUUAUGAUAAAAGCAAGAAUUCCACAAAGAAGGUAAAAAACCAUAAACUUACAGGAUUCCCUAGCAUUUGGAUGGAGUUCUUUUGUAGCUACCACUUAUUCAAGGAUUGAUUGUUCAUUAAACUGAAUUUUAAUGCAAGCCUAAGUCCCUUAAUGUGGAAAAGGAUGAGGUAUGAGGACAAAGGGAGAUUAAAAAAUAAGGUUGCUUACUAAAUUAUUAACCAUAGAGCUAUGGGCUAAAUCAACAUAACUGCAACUAGAACAAUAAAGACCCAGCACACGCUAAAUCACUUAUGGUACAUUUGCAUAUUAAAUUGGAACAUUUAUAUAGAUGUAGCCUAGAAAAUGGCCUUUAUUAAAAUGUGCCCACAGUUAACACUUUCAGAAACCAAACUCAUGUGGCUCCAAAGGCAACUCAGCAAGCCUCACCUUCUGCUUGGGAGCAGGGGUGGGGGCAGUGAAAGGGAUGACUUGCAGAUGAAGGAGAUAAUGGAGGCUCAAGAAACCUGGGGCAUUUGACAAAAAUCACAAGCAAUGACCCUGUGAACAAGAAAGAGAAAGGAGCUGGAUGAGGCACAAUUAGGUAAAUUUGUCUUGAGCCCCGCAGGGCAGCUGAUUAAUAGAUGCUGUUAAGCAGGAGGAAUGUUCUCAAUUGUAGAGUUCUAUAACCCAGACUCAAAUCCUGCUCCCGUCACAUAUUUACCAGCUGGAUGACUUUGGUAAGAUUUUUUUCUUUAUUUUUAUAGUUACCAGUCUCUCCAGAAAGGGAUCAUCGCCUGUGUCAAAGGUUAUUGUGAGAAUCAAAUGAUAUAACUCAUAAAACACUUAGCACACCAUAAGCACUGACAAGUGAUAGUCCCCUAUUUAAAGAACAGAGAGAGGGUUUAGAAGCCACAUGUAUGAAACAGGUUUCAGAGUUUUGGUUGGCAUAGAUUUCAGCAGCAUAAGAAAGUAGCUUAUAACUUGGCCUGCAAUAAUAGGAGCAUGCUAUCAGUAUUGAAGGAGGUGAUAGCUCUGCUCUGCUGAACUUGAUUAGUGGUUUUAUCUUGAGGAACUAUGUUUUCAUAGGGACCUAGACCAGUGGUUUUCUUUCUUUC
rnacentral:lncRNA from 1 species